rnacentral:rRNA from 1 species
GCCAGACUCCUACGGGAGGCAGCAGUGGGGAAUAUUGCACAAUGGGGGAAACCCUGAUGCAGCGACGCCGCGUGAGUGAAGAAGUAUCUCGGUAUGUAAAGCUCUAUCAGCAGGGAAGAAAAUGACGGUACCUGACUAAGAAGCCCCGGCUAACUACGUGCCAGCAGCCGCGGUAAUACGUAGGGGGCAAGCGUUAUCCGGAUUUACUGGGUGUAAAGGGAGCGUAGACGGUUAUGUAAGUCUGGAGUGAAAGCCCGGGGCCCAACCCCGGGACUGCUUUGGAAACUGUGUAACUGGAGUACAGGAGGGGCAGGCGGAAUUCCUGGUGUAGCGGUGAAAUGCGUAGAUAUCAGGAGGAACACCGGCGGCGAAGGCGGCCUGCUGGACUGAAACUGACGUUGAGGCUCGAAAGCGUGGGGAGCAAACAGGAUUAGAUACCCUUGUAGG